GACGAACGCUGGCGGCGUGCUUAACACAUGCAAGUCGAACGCAGUGGCGAACGGGUGAGUAACGCGUAAUCAACCUGCCCUUCAGAGGGGGACAACAGUUGGAAACGACUCCUAAUACCGCAUACUGAAGGAGGGGAUUGCGUCUGAUUAGCUAGUUGGAGGGGUAACGGCCGAACAAGGCGAUGAUCAGUAGCCGGUCUGAGAGGAUGAACGGCCACAUUGGGACUGAGACACGGCCCAGACUCCUACGGGAGGCAGCAGUGGGGAAUCUUCCGCAAUGGACGAAAGUCUGACGGAGCAACGCCGCGUGAGUGAUGAAGGCCUUCGGGUUGUAAAGCUCUGUUAAUCGGGACGCGGUACCGGAAUAGAAAGCCACGGCUAACUACGUGCCAGCAGCCGCGGUAAUAC
rnacentral:rRNA from 1 species